CGGCCCCGCGGCCGGAAGUGAGCCCAGAGCGCCGCGGGCCCGCGAUGAAGCCGGCGGUGGACGAGAUGUUCCCCGAGGGCGCCGGGCCCUACGUGGACCUGGACGAGGCGGGAGGCAGCACCGGGCUCCUGAUGGACUUGGCAGCCAAUGAAAAGGCUGUUCACGCAGACUUUUUUAAUGAUUUUGAAGAUCUCUUUGAUGAUGAUGACAUCCAGUGAGAUGCCGUCUGCUGCAGGCCCAGCCCUUGGUGCAGAGCCUCGCAUGAGGCUGCUCAGGACCGAUUCAGGUGGUUUUAAAGAACCUGGAAGUCCCUUGAAAUGAGGACCUGGUUAACCAAGAAAGACAAUAAUGUGCUCAGCCACCUGGACGAGGCUGUUCGUCUCUGACGUGACCAGGUUGUGCCCUCACUUCAAUUAAAAGAAAGCAACAUCACA